GUAGGUGGCAAGCGUUGUCCGGAAUUAUUGGGCGUAAAGCGCGCGCAGGCGGUCCUUUAAAGUCUGAUGUGAAAGCCCACGGCUCAACCGUGGAGGGUCAUUGGAAACUGGGGGACUUGAGUACAGAAGAGGAAAGCGGAAUUCCAAGUGUAGCGGUGAAAUGCGUAGAGAUUUGGAGGAACACCAGUGGCGAAGGCGGCUUUCUGGUCUGUAACUGACGCUGAGGCGCGAAAGCGUGGGGAGCAAACAGGGAUUAGAUACCCUGGUAGUCCACGCCGUAAACGAUGAGUGCUAAGUGUUAGGGGGGUUUCCCGCCCCCUUAGUGCUGCAGCUAACGCAUUAAGCACUCCGCCUGGGGAGUACGGCCGCAAGGCUG
rnacentral:rRNA from 1 species